AGUGAACGCUGGCGGCAGGCCUAACACAUGCAAGUCGAGCGGCAGCGGGCUGUAGCAAUACAGUGCCGGCGAGCGGCGGACGGGUGAGGAAUACAUCGGAAUCUACCUUGUCGUGGGGGAUAACGUAGGGAAACUUACGCUAAUACCGCAUACGAACUACGGUUGAAAGCGGAGGACCGCAAGGCUUCGCGCGAUUGGAUGAGCCGAUGUCGGAUUAGCUAGUUGGCGGGGUAAUGGCCCACCAAGGCGACGAUCCGUAGCUGGUCUGAGAGGAUGAUCAGCCACACUGGAACUGAGACACGGUCCAGACUCCUACGGGAGGCAGCAGUGGGGAAUAUUGGACAAUGGGCGCAAGCCUGAUCCAGCCAUGCCGCGUGUGUGAAGAAGGCC
rnacentral:rRNA from 1 species